CCAGAAGGCAGGACUUACGCUGA
rnacentral:piRNA from 1 species